rnacentral:tRNA from 1 species
GCCCUGGUAGCAAAAUGGUUAAGCACUCAGCUGCUAACUGAAAGGUUGGUGAUUCAAACUCACCUAAUGGCU